UUUUUUGAGAGCUAGGGGUCACAGGGUGGGUAGCGGACGGUACCUAGUGCGGCGGUGAGGGGCGGGUCUAGUAACAGAGGUGAGGGGCGGGGUAGGCGGCGGUGACGGGUAGCGUAGGUGGGAGACAUCGUAGGGUGGUGGAGGUAGCGGUGGAAUUGGUAUAGAGAGGAACUAGGAGAGGGAACCUGGUCGUGCGCCGCUACCGAUGAAGGUCAGCACACCGCCACUACGCCGACCAGCUCCUUGGCGCGUCCUCCGCCCGAGACAGGGCAGGCAACUAGAUAGAGGUGGAGGACGAGGAGGCGAGUCUAGCUUGCAGUGUAGGCGUAAAUGCUACUGUGUACUGAGAGAGGAGAGGACGCCGCUACGGAUAUACACUGUUGUUACCACAGGACAACACGGGGAGGUGUGAAACCUGGCGGCUCCGCGCCUUCAGAGGCCUAUUCUAGCGUGAUGCGCAUCGUUUAAGCUGGUACAAGAGUCACCAACGAGCCGUUCCUUAUCGUUCGUGUGCUCUUCCGGACUAGCUUCUGUGAGUGUCAAAUUCAAGAGCACGGCAACGCUAGCACUCCUAAGCAAGCAGAAGCACCGAAGGAGAAGAAGUACCUUAGCAAGAAGAAGGAUCGCCCUAAAGUCAACGUCCACGUCCAAAACGCUACUAGUACUGCGCUCUCGCUACAAUGAACAAAACCUCAAGAAGAAGACGAAGAAGAAGCUAGUCCCCUAUCCAAGGUCCAGCCGUCGGACCCGAUCGUUCCACCUACAGCAAACUCAAAGACAAACACAAAGUAGGCAUCAGCCUACAACUAGAAUACAUACUACUUAACCACAUAAGUACACCGUAACAUACGGAGACAAUACAUAGGGGUUGAUAAUACAUUACAACUACAUUACUAUAGGU
rnacentral:rRNA from 1 species